rnacentral:rRNA from 1 species
AUUGGACAAUGGUCGCAAGACUGAUCCAGCCAUGCCGCGUGCAGGAAGACGGCCCUAUGGGUUGUAAACUGCUUUUGUACCAGAGAAAACCUAUAUACGUGUAGAUAGCUGAUCGUAUGGUAAGAAUAAGCAUCGGCUAACUACGUGCCAGCAGCCGCGGUAAGACGAAGGAUGGAAGCGUUAUCCGGAUUCAUUGGGUUUAACGGGUGCGUAGGCGGGCUUGUAAGUCAGUGGUGAAAUCUCUCAGCUUAACUG